rnacentral:rRNA from 1 species
GACGAACGCUGGCGGCGUGCUUAACACAUGCAAGUCGAGCGGUAAGGCCCUUUCGGGGGUACACGAGCGGCGAACGGGUGAGUAACACGUGGGUGACCUGCCCUUAGCUCUGGGAUAAGCCUGGGAAACUGGGUCUAAUACCGGAUAUGACUCCAUGACGCAUGUUGUGGGGUGGAAAGCCUUGUGCGGCUAGGGGAUGGGCCCGCGGCCUAUCAGCUUGUUGGUGGGGUGAUGGCCUACCAAGGCGACGACGGGUAGCCGGCCUGAGAGGGCGACCGGCCACACUGGGACUGAGACACGGCCCAGACUCCUACGGGAGGCAGCAGUGGGGAAUCUUGCGCAAUGGGCGAAAGCCUGACGCAGCGACGCCGCGUGAGGGAUGACGGCCUGGU